AGAGUUUGAUCAUGGCUCAGAACGUACGCUGGCGGCACGCCUAACACAUGCAAGUCGAACGCAGUAGCAAUACUGAGUGGCAAACGGGUGAGUAUAAUGUGGGAAUCUGCCUUUUGGUUUGGAAUAACACGGGGAAACUUGUGCUAAUACCAAAUAAGCCUUCACAGGGAAAGUUUUAACGCCGAAAGAUGAGCCCGCACUUGAUUAGCUAGUUGGUAAGGUAAAAGCUUACCAAGGCAAUGAUCAAUAGCUGUUCUUAGAGGAAGACCAGCCACAUUGGGACUGAGACACGGCCCAGACUCCUACGGGAGGCAGCAGUGGGGAAUCUUGCACAAUGGGGGAAACCCUGAUGCAGCGAUGCCGCGUGAGUGAAGAAGGCCUUUGGGUUGUAAAACUCUUUCGUCGGGGAAGAAAAUGACUGUACCCGAAUAAGAAGGUCCGGCUAACUUCGUGCCAGCAGCCGCGGUAAUAC
rnacentral:rRNA from 1 species